rnacentral:rRNA from 1 species
GACGAACGCUGGCGGCGUGCUUAACACAUGCAAGUCGAACGGAAAGGCCCUGCUUUUGUGGGGUGCUCGAGUGGCGAACGGGUGAGUAACACGUGAGUAACCUGCCCUUGACUUUGGGAUAACUUCAGGAAACUGGGGCUAAUACCGGAUAGGAGCUCCUGCUGCAUGGUGGGGGUUCGAAAGUUUCGGCGGUUGGGGAUGGACUCGCGGCUUAUCAGCUUGUUGGUGGGGUAGUGGCUUACCAAGGCUUUGACGGGUAGCCGGCCUGAGAGGGUGACCGGCCACAUUGGGGCUGAGAUACGGCCCAGACUCCUACGGGAGGCAGCAGUGGGGAAUAUUGCACAAUGGGCGGAAGCCUGAUGCAGCAACGCCGCGUGCGGGAUGACGGCCUUCGGGUUGUAAACCGCUUUCGCCUGUGACGAAGCGUGAGUGACGGUAAUGGGUAAAGAAGCACCGGCUAACUACGUG